rnacentral:rRNA from 1 species
GACGAACGCUGGCGGCGUGCCUAAUACAUGCAAGUCGAACGCAGUGGGGACGGGUGACUAACACGUGGGUAACCUCCCAUCAGAGGGGAUAACACUUGGAAACACGUGCUAAACCGAUACUGAUGGAUGGACCCGCGGUGCAUUAGCUAGGUGGUUAGGGAACGGCUCACCAAGGCAACGAUGCAUAGCCGACCGGAGAGGGUGAUCGGCCACACUGGGACUGAGAAAGGGCCCAGACUCCUACGGGAGGAAGCAGUAGGGAAUCUUCGGCAAUGGACGAAAGUCUGACCGAGAAAAGCCGCGUGAGUGAAGAAGGUUUUCGGAUCGUAAAAAUCGGUUGUUAGGGAAGCGAUAUCUAACCAGAAAGCCACGGCUAACUACGUGCCAGCAGCCGCGGUAAAAC